CCUACGGGAGGCAGCAGUGGGGAAUAUUGGACAAUGGGCGAAAGCCUGAUCCAGCAAUGCCGCGUGAGUGAAGAAGGCCUUCGGGUUGUAAAGCUCUUUUACCCGGGAAGAUAAUGACUGUACCGGGAGAAUAAGCCCCGGCUAACUCCGUGCCAGCAGCCGCGGUAA
rnacentral:rRNA from 1 species